AGUAUACAUUUUUUGAAGUUUUUAGGGCAUUUUUGCAUUUUUUUUAGGGCAUUUUUGUGUGUUUUUUAGGUCAUCAACAUCCUAACUCUACUGAUCAUUAUAUCUUAAAUAAUGGUUCUGCUAAAUGUAAAUUUGCUAUAUUGUACUUAUAAGACAGAUGGAUUAAAAUAGUUGAAGAAGAAGAGAAAAUAAUACUGGAAGAUCGGGUUGGCAGACGGUUAUCAACCAUUAAAAUGAAUGAUUAUAAGAUGUUGAAUUCAUAUGAAUUCAUUAAUGAUAUUCUUAUAGACUUUUAUUUAAAUAAUUGGUAUACUAAAAAAUUAAGUUAGGAAGAUAGAGAACGAACCACACUACACAGCAUCACAGAUAAGACACGGAAAAGUAAGAAAAUGGACGAAAAAUGUAGACAUAUUCCAGAAAGAUUUUGUUUUUAUACCUGUGAAUGAAAAUAAACAUUGGUUUUUAGCGGUAAUUUGUUUUCCGUACCUAUCAGGUAAAGUUAAUAUGAGAGAUGGAACUCCAGUAAAUGAACCUUAUGAUGAUGCUGGUGGAUAUCCAUGGCCACGCAUUACAUAUUCUGCUGUUCGUGAUCGUAGUGAAGCUGACUCUAAUGAUGAAGAUCUUUGUUUGUUUGAUAUGGCAUCAAGAGUAAGAAUUUUUUUACUAAUAAUCCAACGCAAAGCGCCCUAGGGGAAGACCUCGGCAACGAUGGCGGAAUAGAGUCAAUGCAGUUGCACACCAUAUUGUUGGUCCAACCGGGAAUUGAUCCGGAAACAAGAAUAUGUAUCAGUUACAAUUCUCUUGAAGAAUGCAUGAAUGGAAUUUGUGGGUUCUAUGAAGCAUGUCUGAUGAACUUAAAUCCAACUGUCACAACUUUUACGUAUGAAAUAAUUCAGCUGUUUGAUUUUCUUGACAAUCUAACACAUAUUUCAUGUCUUGUGUAUCAACCAGAUACCAUGAUGUAUGUCCAAUUAGACAAACAAAUGAUAAAAGUGGAGUUAUUUAUCCAAUUGGGAUGUCAAACUAAUCAACGUCCAUAAACAUUAUGAGUAUAAUGAAAUGUUUAAUUAUAAUAUUAUGAGGCUGUUUUUUCCAUAAGCAAUGUACAAGUUAUUCUUUGUUAUUUGUCAAAUAUUCCAAAUCUCAGA